rnacentral:rRNA from 1 species
GUCGGGAAUAUUGGGCAAUGGGCGCAAGCCUGACCCAGCAACUCCGCGUGAGGGAUGAAGGCCCUCGGGUCGUAAACCUCUGUCGGGAGGGAAGAAAGGGCCGCAGUCGAAUACACUGCGGUUUUGACGGUACCUCCAAAGGAAGCGCCGGCUAACUCCGUGCCAGCAGCCGCGGUAAUACGGAGGGCGCAAGCGUUGUUCGGAAUCAUUGGGCGUAAAGCGGGUGUAGGCGGCCCGGCAAGUCGGGUGUGAAAGCCCAGGGCUCAACCCUGGAACUGCACUCGAAACUGCCGAGCUAGAGUCUCGGAGAGGGUGGCGGAAUUCCCGGUGUAGAGGUGAAAUUCGUAGAUAUCGGGAGGAACACCAGUGGCGAAGGCGGCCACCUGGACGAUGACUGACGCUCAGACCCGAAAGCGUGGGGAGCAAACAGG